GACCUUGUUGGUUUCGAUCUCGGAACCGAGGAAUUCCGUUUCCUUGAAUUGCCGGAUUUUUGUUUAGAUAAGCUUUUUUGUUAUGACAUAAAAGCCAUGGGAGGUUAUAUUUGUUUGACUGCAACUUAUAGGGAAAUCGAUACUGUCGUGGUUGAUGUAUGGAUAAUGGAGGAAUAUGGGGUUAAAGAAUCUUGGAUUAAAUUGAUAUCAUGCUACCAACCCGAAUUUAUUCCAGAUUCUCCAUUUGCAGUACCUUUGGCUUUUUCAAAAAAUGGUGACAAAGUUUUAUUCAACAUUUCUUACAAGUGCAGAAUUUUUAACAAUUGGUACAGUCUUAUGGACAAGUUUGUGUGGUAUGAUUUGUGUGGCGAAAGGAUUGAGAAAGUUGAGAUUAGAGGUAUUCCAUCUGUAUUUGAAGUGCACUUUUAUGUUGAGAGCCUUGUCCCUAUUAAUGGUAAUGCUGUAAUGAUCAACAAUGAGAUGCCCUAGAGGGAUGAUUUAUUGCUCAAGAAGUUUCAAUUGGUGUUAUAAUUAGAGAAAUUAUACGAGGUAAUUAAAGUUAAAUGAAGUUUGUUUCUUGAUUACUUUACUAGUAUCGGAUAUAAGUAUUUUUAAUUAAUGUUUUUAUGUAUUGGAGGAUGGUAUUAUUAUAUUUAUAUUUGGAUAUGCUACAUAAACACAUGAAUAAUUGGAGCUUGAUUGUAAUUAGUUUGAACUAGUGGAAGAAUUGGUUUGAUAAAAUGCAAUCUUACCAUUUUAAUAA